rnacentral:rRNA from 1 species
AGUGAACGCUGGCGGUAGGCCUAACACAUGCCAGUCGAACGGCAGCACAGUAAGAGCUUGCUCUUACGGGUGGCGAGUGGCGGACGGGUGAGGAAUACAUCGGAAUCUACUUUUUCGUGGGGGAUAACGUAGGGAAACUUACGCUAAUACCGCAUACGACCUACGGGUGAAAGCAGGGGAUCUUCGGACCUUGCGCGAUUGAAUGAGCCGAUGUCGGAUUAGCUAGUUGGCGGGGUAAAGGCCCACCAAGGCGACGAUCCGUAGCUGGUCUGAGAGGAAGAUCAGCCACACUGGAACUGAGACACGGUCCAGACGCCUACGGGAGGCAGCAGUGGGGAAUAUUGGACAAUGGGCGCAAGCCUGAUCCAGCCAUACCGCGUGGGUGAAGAAGGCCUUCGGGUUGUAAAGCCCUUUUGUUGGGAAAGAAAAGCAGCAGGUUAAUACCCCGCUGUUCUGACGGGACCAAAAGAAUAAGCACAGGCUAACUUCGU